AAAAAGACAAACCCUGGAUUUCCGUGUCCAACUUUGACGGUCCGUCUUAUAUGAAAUUUUUUUAUAAUUCGUAUUUUCAUUAUUGUUAGAUGAUAAAACAUGAUUAAUAUUUUAUGCGUGACUUGUCUUUUUAUUUUUUUUUAUAAUUUGAAAGACGGAUGGUCAAACGUUAGGCACAGAAACUAGUGUUUGUCUUUUUU
rfam:Oryza glumipatula chromosome 3, whole genome shotgun sequence.